UCUAAUAAAGUAUAUGCGUCUAUCAUUCUCCUACAGAACAACCAUGUAUUUGAGUUAGUCAUUUGGCCGGGCGGACGAACUGACACCGCUUCUCUCCUCCUCCAACCCGUGUUCGCUUGCUCCGUACUACUGAACGUGUAUCAGCACUUCAGCAGCAAAAAUCAGCAUUCCAGCAGUAGAAAAGCAUUCAAAGUGCAAAGCUAUCUGCAUUUCAGCGGCCAAAAUCAGCAUUUCAGCAACAAAAUCAGCAUUUCAGCAGCAAAAUCAGUAUUUCUGUGGGAAAAAUACAGCAUUCCAGCAUUUCAAUAGCUAAAAUAUCAGCAUUUUAGCAGCAAAUCAACAUUUCAACAGCGAAAAUCAGCAGAUCAACAGCAAAAAUUCAGCAUUUCAGCGGCAAACGUACUCAUUCCAACAUUUCAACAGCAAAAUAUCACCAUUUCAGCAACAAAAUAUCAACAUUUCAGCAGCAACAAUACUAGAACUCCAGUCAUGUUAACAAUCAAAUUCUUGAGUACAUUGCAUAUGUUUAUGCACCACAUGUCCUCUUCUUACCUGCAAACAAAAUAUAUGGUACUAUUACUCGUUCAUAUCAUAAUAAUUCAAUAAACAAAAUUCAAUUGUAUGGUAUUGAUACCGGAAGCUUUGCACGAGUUGGAGAGGCAGGAGCAUAAGAUGAACGCUCAUCAACUUGGGAAUCUGGCUGAACAAUAUUAAAUUUGCAUGUUCUUUUAUUGUGGCCAGCAUUAUGUCAUAAGCUACAAAGCAAGGAGUUCUGCUUUCUUUUCAUUUUAGUUCUACUUGCUCCUACUUCA